rnacentral:rRNA from 1 species
CCUACGGGAGGCAGCAGUGAGGAAUAUUGGUCAAUGGGCGGGAGCCUGAACCAGCCAAGCCGCGUGCGGGAAGAAGGUACUGCGUAUCGUAAACCUCUUUUGUCAGGGAACAAAGGCGGGGACUAGUCCCCGGAUGAGGGUACCUGAAGAAAAAGCAUCGGCUAACUCCGUGCCAGCAGCCGCGGUAAUACGGAGGGUGCGAGCGUUAUCCGGAUUUAUUGGGUUUAAAGGGUGCGCAGGCGGCCCGUUAAGUCCGCGGUAAAAGCCCGGGGCUCAACCCCGGCGAGCCGUUGAAACUGGCGGGCUGGAGUUGGAGAGAAGUACGCGGAAUUCGCGGUGUAGCGGUGAAAUGCUUAGAUAUCGCGCAGAACCCCGAUUGCGAAGGCAGCGUACCGGCUCCACACUGACGCUGAGGCACGAAAGCGUGGGUAGCGAACAGGAUUAGAUACCCUUGUAGUC